rnacentral:rRNA from 1 species
UACGUAGGCAGCGAGCGUUGUUCGGAAUUACUGGGCGUAAAGAGUGUGUAGGCGGUGCUCUAAGUUCGGUGUGAAAUCUCCCGCUUAACUGGGAGGUGCGCCGGAAACUGGAGUGCUCGAGCGUGGGAGAGGAAAGCGGAAUCCUGGUGUAGCGGUGAAAUGCGUAGAUAUCAGGAGGAACACCUGCGGUGUAGACGGCUUUCUGGACCAUGCUGACGCUGAGAACACGAAAGCCGUGGGUAGCAAACAGG